CGAGCGAACUGAUUAGGAGCUUGCUCCUAUGACGUUAGCGGCGGACGGGUGAGUAACACGUGGGCAACCUGCCUGUAGAUUGGGAUAACUUCGGGAAACCGGUGCUAAUACCGGAUAGGAUCUUCUCCUUCAUGGGAGAUGAUUGAAAGAUGGUUUCGGCUGUCACUUUCAGAUGGGCCCGCGGUGCAUUAGCUAGUUGGUGAGGUAACGGCUCACCAAGGCAACGAUGCAUAGCCGACCUGAGAGGGUGAUCGGCCACACUGGGACUGAGACACGGCCCAGACUCCUACGGGAGGCAGCAGUAGGGAAUCUUCCACAAUGGACGAAAGUCUGAUGGAGCAACGCCGCGUGAGUGAUGAAGGAUUUCGGGUCGUAAAACUCUGUUGUUAGGGAAGAACAAGUACAAUAGUAACUGCUCGUACCUUGACGGUACCUAACCAGAAAGCCACGGCUAACUACGUGCCAGCAGCCGCGGUAAUACGUAGGUGGCAAGCGUUGUCCGGAAUUAUUGGGCGUAAAGCGCGCGCAGGUGGUUUCUUAAGUCUGAUGUGAAAGCCCACGGCUCAACCGUGGAGGGUCAUUGGAAACUGGGAAACUUGAGUGCAGAAGAGAAUAGCGGAAUUCCACGUGUAGCGGUGAAAUGCGUAGAGAUGUGGAGGAACACCAGUGGCGAAGGCGACUUUCUGGUCU
rnacentral:rRNA from 1 species